UCUUACCAUUCCGAACAGAGCAGUUAAACCUUUUAGCGCAGAUGGUACUACGCAAGUGGGAGAGUAUGUCGCCGCCUUCU
rnacentral:rRNA from 1 species